GAAGGUCUGACUCACCAGGGAGGUCUCCGUCACCAGUGGCUAGGCUCAGGGAUCCCACUGGGGCAAGAUUGCCUUCACCAUCCAUUGAGCAAAGAUUGCCUUCACCACCCGUUGCACAAAGGUUGCCUUCACCACCCCCUAGGCGUGCAGGAUUACCUUCACCACCCCCUGCGCAAAGGUUGCCUUCACCACCCCCUAGGCGUGCAGGAUUACCUUCACCAAUGAGGAUUGGAGGAUCUCAUGCAGCCAAUCACCUGGAAUCACCAUCACCCAGCUCAUUGUCCCCUCCUGGUAGGAAAAAAGUGUUACCAUC
rnacentral:lncRNA from 1 species